rnacentral:rRNA from 1 species
GGAAACAGGUGCUAAUACCGUAUAACACUAUUUUCCGCAUGGAAGAAAGUUGAAAGGCGCUUUUGCGCCACUGAUGGAUGGACCCGCGGUGCAUUAGCUAGUUGGUGAGGUAACGGCUCACCAAGGCCACGAUGCAUAGCCGACCUGAGAGGGUGAUCGGCCACACUGGGACUGAGACACGGCCCAGACUCCUACGGGAGGCAGCAGUAGGGAAUCUUCGGCAAUGGACGAAAGUCUGACCGAGCAACGCCGCGUGAGUGAAGAAGGUUUUCGGAUCGUAAAACUCUGUUGUUAGAGAAGAACAAGGAUGAGAGUAAAACGUUCAUCCCUUGACGGUAUCUAACCAGAAAGCCACGGCUAACUACGUGCCAGCAGCCGCGGUAAUACGUAGGUGGCAAGCGUUGUCCGGAUUUAUUGGGCGUAAAGCGAGCGCAGGCGGUUUCUUAAGUCUGAUGUGAAAGCCCCCGGCUCAACCGGGGAGGGUCAUUGGAAACUGGGAGACUUGAGUGCAGAAGAGGAGAGUGGAAUUCCAUGUGUAGCGGUGAAAUGCGUAGAUAUAUGGAGGAACACCAGUGGCGAAGGCGGCUCUCUGGUCUGUAACUGACGCUGAGGCUCGAAAGCGUGGGGAGCGAACAGGAUUAGAUACCCUGGUAGUCCACGCCGUAAACGAC